UAUCCCCCGGCACCUGCGCCACCACCCGGCAGGAGAGCCGCCAGGACAUCGCUGCCGAAGCACGACAGCACCAAGACCAGCUUGGCCAACUGCAAUCAGAGAAGUGAUUCUGCGGCUUUGCGACGAGAUCGUAUUCUGGCAUCGAUGUUAUUGACCGGAGGAGGAAACGAGAUACUCGAUCGGAUCCAAGUGCCAUGGAUCUCGAAACGAAGCAAAUAGCGGUGACCCAGAAGAUUUUGCAAGAAGGAGGCGUAAAAAAUUUAUCAGUGGAAUGUUUAAUUUCUGAGAAGAAGAUGCCACUGGAAGGGGUCUAUGUCAGUAUUAACGAUCUUCCUCUAGUUUACAUUAUAGAAAAAUGAAUAUUUCUAUUCUUAAACUUUUCUUCAAUAUAAAAUAAUACAUCUGUAAAAACUUAUUUAGAUAAGCAAUUCUAUACUCUACUGCGAAUUUCUUGGCAGGCAAAGUGGAAUGCAUUCUGACACAAAAACGUGAAAAUUUCCAGAAUAUGCAAAUAAAUACGCGAAAGUAUUCGACUUUCUUGACAAUCAUUUUCUCUGUAACAAUUAAAUUUCAAAAUGCUAAUUAUUAGUGUACACUUAUUUAAUUUUAUAAAUAAAGAAAAUAAUCUUUCUUAUUUA
rnacentral:lncRNA from 1 species